rnacentral:rRNA from 1 species
AUGAACGCUAGCGGCAGGCCUAACACAUGCAAGUCGAACGGUAACAGGGAAAAGCUUGCUUUUCCGCUGACGAGUGGCGCACGGGUGCGUAACGCGUAUACAAUCUGCCUUUUACAGGGGGAUAGCCUUUAGAAAUGAAGAUUAAUACCCCAUAGAAUAUAUAGAUGGCAUCAUUUAAAUAUUAAAGUUUCGGCGGUAAAAGAUGAGUAUGCGUUCUAUUAGCUAGUAGGUGUGGUAACGGCACACCUAGGCAACGAUAGAUAGGGGCCCUGAGAGGGGGAUCCCCCACACUGGUACUGAGACACGGACCAGACUCCUACGGGAGGCAGCAGUGAGGAAUAUUGGACAAUGGGCGGAAGCCUGAUCCAGCCAUGCCGCGUGCAGGAAGACUGCCCUAUGGGUUGUAAACUGCUUUUAUACGGGAAGAAACCCACCUACGUGUAGGUGGCUGACGGUACCGUAAGAAUAAGCACCGGCUAACUCCGUGCCAGCAGCCGCGGUAAUACGGAGGGUGCAAGCGUUAUCCGGAAUCAUUGGGUUUAAAGGGUCCGUAGGUGGAUUAAUAAGUCAGAGGUGAAAGCCUGCAGCUUAACUGUAGAAUUGCCUUUGAAACUGUUAAUCUUGAAUUAUUGUGAAGUAGUUAGAAUAUGUAGUGUAGCGGUGAAAUGCAUAGAUAUUACAUAGAAUACCGAUUGCGAAGGCAGAUUACUAACAAUAUAUUGACACUGAUGGACGAAAGCGUGGGGAGCGAACAGGAUUAGAUACCCUGGUAGUCCACGCCGUAAACGAUGGUCACUAGCGUUCGAACUUCGGUCUGAGUGGCUAAGCGAAAGUGAUAAGUGACCCACCUGGGGAGUACGUUCGCAAGAAUGAAACUCAAAGGAAUUGACGGGGGCCCACACAAGCGGUGGAGCAUGAGGUUUAAUUCGAUGAUACGCGAGGAACCUUACCAGGGCUUAAAUGGGAGAUGACAGGAGCAGAGACGCUCUUUUCUUCGGACAUCUUUCAAGGUGCUGCAUGGUUGUCGUCAGCUCGUGCCGUGAGGUGUCAGGUUGAGUCCUAUAACGAGCGCAACCCCUACCGUUAGUUGCCAGCAUGUAAAGAUGGGGACUCUAACGGGACUGCCGGUGCAAACCGUGAGGAAGGUGGGGAUGACGUCAAAUCAUCACGGCCCUUAUGCCCAGGGCCACACACGUGCUACAAUGGCCGGUACAGAGGGAAGCUACCCUGCAAAGGGAUGCGGAUCUAUAAAGCCGGUCACAGUUCGGAUCGGGGUCUGCAACUCGACCCCGUGAAGCUGGAAUCGCUAGUAAUCGGAUAUCAGCCAUGAUCCGGUGAAUACGUUCCCGGGCCUUGUACACACCGCCCGUCAAGCCAUGGAAGCCGGGGGUGCCUGAAGUCUGUAACCGCAAGGAGCGGCCUAGGGCAAGACUGGUAACUAGGGCUA